rfam:Rattus norvegicus chromosome 5, whole genome shotgun sequence.
GGAGAUUUAGCUCAGUGGUAGAGCUCUUGCCUAGGAAGCGCAAGGCCCUGGGUUCGGUCCCCAGCUCCG